UCUGAAAGGAAGAAGCUUCCCCUCUGUCGAGAGCUUCUUCCUGGAUGAGUGGGAGCCACUGACACUCCUGCAGACUCCUCAGGUUCUGUCCACCAGUGUUUCCAUCAAGGAAGACAACCUGAUCCAGUCUGCUGCAGGCCUAGUGUCUCUGGUUCUGUCAUCCAGUGUUCCCAUCGAGGAAGACAACCUGAUCCAGUCUGCUGCAGGCCUAGUGUCUCAGGUUCUGUCCACCAGUGUUGCCAUCAUGGAGAAUGACCUGAUCCAGUCUGCUGCAGGCCUAGUAUCUCAGGUUCUGUCAUCCAGUGUUAUCAUUGUGGAAAAUGACCUGAUCCAGUCUGCUGCAGGCCUUGUGUCUCAGGUUCUGUCCACCAGUGUUAUCAUCGUGGAAAAUGACCUGAUCCAGUCUGCUGCAGGCCUAGUGUCUCAGGUUCUGUCCAGCAGUGACACUAGAGUGAAGGAUCGUAUUGAUUCCACACUGACAGACUCCAACCAACCUGAGGUCCAUGUGGCGGAUGUCUCAACCGAGAGAAGUAAAUUAGUCAUCACUAUUUCUAUGUUUUCAAUAGAGAGUUGCAAUGCUUCGGUCCAUGAAGUUGAUGCUAUUGCUACCAGCCUGGAGCACCCGGCUGAGGAAAUGUCUACCUCUACCGCUGAUGGCCACAUUGUUUCAUCCACUGCUGUUGCCAAUCAGAAGAAAACAAGGGGUGAAUUCGUCUCAUCUCUACGGAGACUGUUCACGAGAAAGAACAGGAAGCCUGCUAAAGUGGCUUCCAAGAAGGAGCACAUUCACUUGGUUGACUGCCUCAAUGCUGAAGUCACCCACUGAGGACACUCGCUCACUGCUGAAAGCAUCCAGAAUGAUGCUUCUGUUUCUCCUCAACGCCACCUACACCCCUGCCCCUCUCCCCCACACCAAACCCUACCAGGGUUGGGUUGAAUUCCAGAUCAAUUCAGUCAAUUCAAGAAGUAAACUGAAAUUCCAAUUCCAAUUGUUUCUCAUAGGAGGCAUUGAGGUAAAUUUGAAUUGCUAUUGGAAUUUCAGUUUACUUUCUGAAUUGACUGAAUUUAAAAUGAAUUGACCCCAAACCUGAUCCCUAAGCCUCCACCCCAUCCAUUUCUAUCUUCGGUAAAUUUUGUCAAAUUUGAUUUGAAUGUGUUUUGUAUCUUCAUUGAAACCACAAUGCAUCUCUAACGAGAGUCACUCAUGUUACACAUCUAGAUUUAUCAUCAAAUGUCGUAGAAUUCAACGACAAAUGCAGUGGUUUAGCAGUUCAACUUCAGUACUUGUCAAUGAGUCACUGCACUGUGACCUUCAGAAACAUGUAACAUUGUGGAAUAACUGAACACGUUUGCUGACAUUCUGUUACAAUGUAACUACACUGAACAAAAAUAUUAACGCAACAUGUAAAGUGUUGGUCCCAUGUUUCAUGAGCUGAAAUAAAAUCCCAUUAUUA
ensembl:lncRNA